rnacentral:rRNA from 1 species
GGACUCCUACGGGGCGCAGCAGUAGGGAAUCUUCCACAAUGGACGAAAGUCUGAUGGAGCAACGCCGCGUGAGUGAAGAAGGGUUUCGGCUCGUAAAGCUCUGUUGGUAGUGAAGAAAGAUAGAGGUAGUAACUGGCCUUUAUUUGACGGUAAUUACUUAGAAAGUCACGGCUAACUACGUGCCAGCAGCCGCGGUAAUACGUAGGUUGCAAGCGUUGUCCGGAUUUAUUGGG